rnacentral:rRNA from 1 species
CUAAUACCGGAUACUCACUGCCUUGGGCAUCCUUGGCGGUGGAAAGCUCCGGCGGUGCAGGAUGAGCCCGCGGCCUAUCAGCUAGUUGGUGAGGUAAUGGCUCACCAAGGCGACGACGGGUAGCCGGCCUGAGAGGGCGACCGGCCACACUGGGACUGAGACACGGCCCAGACUCCUACGGGAGGCAGCAGUGGGGAAUAUUGCACAAUGGGCGAAAGCCUGAUGCAGCGACGCCGCGUGAGGGAUGACGGCCUUCGGGUUGUAAACCUCUUUCAGCAGGGAAGAAGCGAGAGUGACGGUACCUGCAGAAGAAGCGCCGGCUAACUACGUGCCAGCAGCCGCGGUAAUACGUAGGGCGCAAGCGUUGUCCGGAAUUAUUGGGCGUAAAGAGCUCGUAGGCGGCUUGUCACGUCGGUUGUGAAAGCCCGGGGCUUAACCCCGGGUCUGCAGUCGAUACGGGCAGGCUAGAGUUCGGUAGGGGAGAUCGGAAUUCCUGGUGUAGCGGUGAAAUGCGCAGAUAUCAGGAGGAACACCGGUGGCGAAGGCGGAUCUCUGGGCCGAUACUGACGCUGAGGAGCGAAAGCGUGGGGAGCGAACAGGAUUAGAUACCCUGGUAGUCCACGCCGUAAACGGUGGGCACUAGGUGUGGGCAACAUUCCACGUUGUCCGUGCCGCAGCU